ACUCAAAGGAAUUGACGGGGACCCGCACAAGCGGUGGAGCAUGUGGUUUAAUUCGACGCAACGCGAAGAACCUUACCUGGGCUAGAAUGCCUCUGACAACCUGAGAGAUCAGGCCUUUUGGGUAAAACCAAACAGAGUGCAAGGUGCUGCAUGGCUGUCGUCAGCUCGUGUCGUGAGAUGUUGGGUUAAGUCCCGCAACGAGCGCAACCCUUAUCAAUAGUUGCCAACAGGUAAAGCUGGGAACUCUAUUGAGACUGCCGUUGACAAAACGGAGGAAGGUGGGGAUGACGUCAAGUCCUCAUGGCCUUUAUGUCCAGGGCUACACACGUGCUACAAUGGCAGGUACAAAGCGCUGCAAACCCGCGAGGGGGAGCCAAUCGCAAAAAGCCUGUCUCAGUUCGGAUUGUAGUCUGCAACUCGACUACAUGAAGCUGGAAUCGCUAGUAAUCGCAGAUCAGAACGCUGCGGUGAAUACGUUCCCGGGUCUUGUACACACCGCCCGU
rnacentral:rRNA from 1 species